GACGAACGCUGGCGGCGUGCUUAACGCAUGCAAGUCGAACGGAAAGGCCCUGCUUGCAGGGUACUCGAGUGGCGAACAGGUGAGUAACACGUGGGUGAUCUGCCCUGCACUUCGGGAUAAGCCUGGGAAACUGGGUCUAAUACCGGAUAGGCGCCAUUUUUAGUGUGAUGGUUGGAAAGUUUUUUCGGUGUAGGAUGAGCUCGCGGCCUAUCAGCUUGUUGGUGGGGUAAUGGCCUACCAAGGCGGCGACGGGUAGCCGGCCUGAGAGGGUGGACGGCCACAUUGGGACUGAGGUGCGGCCCAGACUCCUACGGGAGGCAGCAGUGGGGAAGAUUGCACAAGGGGCGCAAGCCGGAUGCAGCGACGCCGCGUGGGGGAUGACGGCCUUCGGGUUGUAAACUCCUUUCGCUAGGGACGAAGCUUUUUGUGACGGUACCUAGAGAAGAAGCACCGGCUAACUACGUG
rnacentral:rRNA from 1 species